UCGGUCGUAAUAUGGCUAAACAUUAGGUCACCGAAAUGGUGUCGUUAAUUAGUCUUCUCAUUUCAUAGAACUACUUGUCAGAUAUCGGAUGUUACACCAGCCGAAAAUGCAUAUUCAGGGAAAGCCAUGUAUGCCAACCCGCUGAGAAUUCUCUAUCCUUCGGAGGACAGUAUCGCUGACCUGCAGCAAGAGAUACUCCAGCACCCUAUCACAACCAACCAUAUCCUCUUUCCACCAAGCCCUUCCGGACCCCCGCUGAACUUCACUGAAGGUCCCUUAAGGCCGAAUUAUGUCGUCUUCACCUUCACACUCUUCUUUACUUUUGUGGGCGUUCUUGGGAACUUUGUUGUCAUCAUUACGUUCUCGUCCACUCCUAAACUUCGAAACCAAACAGGUCUGUGCAUGAUAAACUUGGCCAUAGCUGAUUUCAUAAUAGGUGUCUUCUACUUGUGUGUAAGCUUGCCCUGUUCACUUCAUGGCGACUGUCUCAUCAUAAGCAGC